rnacentral:rRNA from 1 species
UACGAAGGGUGCUAGCGUUGCUCGGAAUCACUGGGCGUAAAGGGCGCGUAGGCGGGCUGUCAAGUCUGGGGUGAAAUCCCACGGCUCAACCGUGGAACUGCCUUAGAUACUGACGGCCUCGAGGGAGAUAGGGGCGAGCGGAACUGUGAGUGGAGCGGUGAAAUGCGUUGAUAUUCACAGGAACUCCGGUGGCGAAGGCGGCUCGCUGGAUCUUUUCUGACGCUGAGGCGCGAAAGCUAGGGGAGCAAACGGG